CGUCACGUAAUUGGUCUCGCUGAGAGUCACAGACCAACGAACGAAACCAUUAACUAGCGAGUCGAAGAUUGUGUGCAUUUGCAUCCUGACGCAUAUAGGUAAAUAUUAAUAAAAAAUAUUCACAUACAUUUUGAUACAACGAUAAAUGUAAAAUAAAAAGACGUCCACACAUUCUUCGCUUUCUGUUGAGUUGUAAUUUGCACUUUAUUUUACUAGAACUACUUCGACUUGGUUUCCACCAACUUGUUACAUUGAUCGUGCACGUUAACCGAUUCAAAGGAUUGACUGGAGAUGACUCAGAGGAAAGGAAAGGUUCUCUUCAAAACUUCACACAUGGAAGCCCCUGGAUUACGAGCUAAUCCAAAGAACACUGCAAAGAUGUCCCUGGGUGAAGGAAUCAACAUUCCAAAAAAGACAUUCGAUCGAUUGUCUAAGACCAAAAUGUCAGUGUUUACCCAGGAGCUGGCAGUUGUCAUUUUUGGACACAAGGCUCUGGCGACAUCAAGUCUAACGGGCAAAAAAAACCAACAAAACAGCGCUGGACUGCAUCAAAGUGAAUGCGCUCAUUGGUAUGUUUGUUGUUUUCUUGAUUUAAACAGAUGACAGCUUAACUAAAUAAAUGUUAACAUAAAAAAGUGCUUCA
ensembl:lncRNA